rnacentral:rRNA from 1 species
AGCGAACGCUGGCGGCAGGCUUAACACAUGCAAGUCGAGCGGGCGUAGCAAUACGUCAGCGGCAGACGGGUGAGUAACGCGUGGGAACGUACCUUUUGGUUCGGAACAACGCAGGGAAACUUGUGCUAAUACCGGAUAAGCCCUUACGGGGAAAGAUUUAUCGCCGAAAGAUCGGCCCGCGUCUGAUUAGCUAGUUGGUGAGGUAACGGCUCACCAAGGCGACGAUCAGUAGCUGGUCUGAGAGGAUGAUCAGCCACAUUGGGACUGAGACACGGCCCAAACUCCUACGGGAGGCAGCAGUGGGGAAUAUUGGACAAUGGGCGCAAGCCUGAUCCAGCCAUGCCGCGUGAGUGAUGAAGGCCCUAGGGUUGUAAAGCUCUUUUGUGCGGGAAGAUAAUGACGGUACCGCAAGAAUAAGCCCCGGCUAACUUCGUGCCAGCCGCCGCUGUAA